CCUACGGGAGGCAGCAGUAGGGAAUCUUCCACAAUGGACGAAAGUCUGAUGGAGCAACGCCGCGUGAGCGAUGAAGGCCUUCGGGUCGUAAAGCUCUGUUGUCAGGGAAGAACAAGUAUCGGAGUAACUGCCGGUACCUUGACGGUACCUGACCAGAAAGCCACGGCUAACUACGUGCCAGCAGCCGCGGUAAU
rnacentral:rRNA from 1 species